AUAAAUUUUAAAAAAAACUGUUCUUAUCAGUUUAAUACCUGAUACAGCCUCCAUUCCAGGACUUUAUAUUAAACAGAUUUUUAGAGUAAGGAGCUGGAAGAGGGGCUUGUUCUGUCCGCUCCACGCAUCGACCUGGUAUUGCAGUACCUCCAGGAAUGGUGCACCUUUU
rnacentral:snRNA from 1 species